AACGAACGCUGGCGGCAUGCCUAACACAUGCAAGUCGAACGAGACCUUCGGGUCUAGUGGCGCACGGGUGCGUAACGCGUGGGAAUCUGCCCUUGGGUUCGGAAUAACAGUUAGAAAUGACUGCUAAUACCGGAUAAUGUCUUCGGACCAAAGAUUUAUCGCCCAGGGAUGAGCCCCGCGUAGGAUUAGCUAGUUGGUGAGGUAAAGGCUCACCAAGGCGACGAUCCGUAGCUGGUCUGAGAGGAUGAUCAGCCACACUGGGACUGAGACACGGCCCAGACUCCUACGGGAGGCAGCAGUGGGAAUAUUGGACAAUGGGCGAAAGCCUGAUCCAGCAAUGCCGCGUGAGUGAUGAAGGCCUUAGGGUUGUAAAGCUCUUUUACCCGGGAUGAUAAUGACAGUACCGGGAGAAUAAGCCCCGGCUAACUCCGUGCCAGCAGCCGCGGUAAU
rnacentral:rRNA from 1 species